UAGCAGAGGGUGCGAGCGUUGUCCGGAUUUAAUUGGGCGUAAAGAGCGUGUGGGCGGCUUUACAGGUCCGUUGUGAAAACGUCGAGGCUCAACCUCGAGACGCCGGUGGAAACCGUAAGGCUAGAGUCCGGAAGAGGAGAGUGGAAUUCCUGGUGUAGCGGUGAAAUGCGCAGAUAUCAGGAAGAACACCCGUGGCGAAGGCGGCUCUCUGGGACGGUACUGACGCUGAGACGCGAAAGCGUGGGGAGCGAACAGG
rnacentral:rRNA from 1 species